GACGAACGCUGGCGGCGUGCCUAAUACAUGCAAGUCGAACGCAGUGGGGACGGGUGAGUAACACGUGGGUAACCUCCCAUCAGAGGGGAUAACACUUGGAAACAGGUGCUAAACCGAUACUGAUGGAUGGACCCGCGGUGCAUUCGCUAGUUGGUGAGGUAACGGCUCACCAAGGCCACGAUGCAUAGCUGACCUGAUAGGGUGAGCGGCCACACGGGAGUGUAUAACCGCCCCAGACCCCUACGGGAGGCAGAAGUGGGGAAUCUUCGGAAAUGGACGAAAGUCUGACCGAGCACCGACGCGGGAGUGAAAAAUGUUUUGGGAUCGUAAACUUCGGUUGUUAGAGAAGCGUUAUCAAACCAGAAAGCCAAGGCUAACGACGGGCAAGCAGCCGCGGUAAUAC
rnacentral:rRNA from 1 species